rnacentral:rRNA from 1 species
CCUACGGGAGGCAGCAGUGGGGAAUAUUGGACAAUGGGCGAAAGCCUGAUCCAGCAAUGCCGCGUGUGUGAAGAAGGCCUGCGGGUUGUAAAGCACUUUCGGUAGGAAAGAAAAGACCGUCGCUAAUACCGGCGGUUCUUGACGUUACCUACGAAUAAGCCACGGCUAACUCUGUGCCAGCAGCCGCGGUAAGACAGAGGUGGCGAGCGUUGUUCGGAAUCACUGGGCUUAAAGGGCGCGUAGGUGGUAGGGUAAGUCCAGGGUGGAAUCCUAUGGCUUAACCAUAGAAUUGCCUUGGAGACUACUUUACUUGAGUCAGUAAGGGGAGGGCAGAAUUCCUGGUGUAGCGGUGAAAUGCGUAGAUAUCAGGAGGAAGGCCGGUGGCGAAGGCGGCCCUCUGGUACUGGACUGACGCUGAGGCGCGAAAGCGUGGGGAGCGAACAGGAUUAGAUACCCUGGUAGUCCACGCCCUAAACGGUGGGCACUAGGUGUAGGGCUCGUAAGGGUUCUGUGCCGAAGGGAAACCAUUAAGUGCCCCGCCUGGGGAGUACGGCCGCAAGGUUGAAACUUAAAGGAAUUGACGG